rnacentral:rRNA from 1 species
UACGUAGGUUGCAAGCGUUGUCCGGAUUUAUUGGGCGUAAAGGGAGCGCAGGUGGUUUCUUAGGUCUGAUGUGAAAGCCCACGGCUUAACCGGGGAGGGUCAUUUGAUACUGGGAAACUUGAGUACAGAAGAGGAAUGUGGAACUCCAUGUGUAGCGGUGGAAUGCGUAGAUAUAUGGAAGAACACCAGUGGCGAAGGCGACAGACUGGUCUGAUACUGACACUGAGGCUCGAAAGCGUGGGGAGCAAACAGG